CACGUAGGGGGCAAGCGUUGUCCGGAUUUAUUGGGCGUAAAGAGCUCGUAGGUGGUUCGAUAAGUCGGGUGUGAAACCUCCAGGCUCAACCUGGAGACGCCACCCGAUACUGUCGUGACUAGAGUCCAGUAGGGGAGCGUGGAAUUCCUGGUGUAGCGGUGAAAUGCGCAGAUAUCAGGAGGAACACCGAUGGCGAAGGCAGCUCGCUGGGACGGUACUGACGCUGAGGCGCGAAAGCGUGGGGAGCAAACAGG
rnacentral:rRNA from 1 species